rnacentral:rRNA from 1 species
AUUGAACGCUGGCGGCAUGCUUUACACAUGCAAGUCGAACGGCAGCGCGGGCUUCGGCCUGGCGGCGAGUGGCGAACGGGUGAGUAAUACAUCGGAACGUGCCCAGUAGUGGGGGAUAGCUCGGCAAAAGCCGGAUUAAUACCGCAUACGACCUGAGGGUGAAAGGGGGGGAUCUUCGGACCUCGCGCUAUUGGAGCGGCCGAUGGCAGAUUAGCUAGUUGGUGGGGUAAAGGCCUACCAAGGCGACGAUCUGUAGCUGGUCUGAGAGGACGACCAGCCACACUGGGACUGAGACACGGCCCAGACUCCUACGGGAGGCAGCAGUGGGGAAUUUUGGACAAUGGGCGAAAGCCUGAUCCAGCAAUGCCGCGUGUGUGAUGAAGGCCUUCGGGUUGUAAAGCACUUUUGGCGGGAACGAAAAGGAUUGUGCCAAUACCACGGUUCGAUGACGGUACCCGCAGAAUAAGCACCGGCUAACUACGUG